CAGCAGCCACGGUAAUACGAAGGGUGCAAGCGUUACUCGGAAUUACUGGGCGUAAAGCGUGCGUAGGUGGUGGUUUAAGUCCGUUGUGAAAGCCCUGGGCUCAACCUGGGAAUUGCAGUGGAUACUGGGUCACUAGAGUGUGGUAGAGGAUAGUGGAAUUUCCGGUGUAGCGGUGAAAUGCGUAGAGAUCUGGAGGAAUACCGGUGGCGAAGGCGGCCCCCUGGACAAAGACUGACGCUCAGGUGCGAAAGCGUGGGGAGCAAACAGGAUUAGAUACCCGCGUAGUCCCUGUCUCUUAUAC
rnacentral:rRNA from 1 species